rnacentral:rRNA from 1 species
UACGUAGGGGGCAAGCGUUGUCCGGAUUUAUUGGGCGUAAAGAGCUCGUAGGCGGUUUGGUAAGUCGGAUGUGAAAUCUCCAGGCUCAACCUGGAGGGGUCAUUCGAUACUGCCAUGACUAGAGUUCGGUAGGGGUGUGUGGAAUUCCUGGUGGAGCGGUGAAAUGCGCAGAUAUCAGGAGGAACACCGGUGGCGAAGGCGGGUCUCUGGGCCGUAACUGACGCUGAGGAGCGAAAGCGUGGGGAGCGAACAGG